AGCAAGAGUACCCGCUGAACUUAAGCAUAUCAGUAAGCGGAGGAAAAGAAAAUAACAAUGAUUACCUCAGUAGCGGCGAGUGAAUAGGUAAAAGCCCAAGAUGUUAAUCUGCAAUAAAGUUGUAGAAUUGUAAUCUAUAGAGUAGCUCGGAAAGUGGAGACUUAUCAUAAGUUCCUUGGAAUAGGACGCCAGAGAAGGUGAUAGCCCUGUCUUAGGAUAAGUCGAGACAAUACGAGAUGCUUCUAAGAGUCGGGUAGUUUUGGGAAUGCUGCCCUAAUUGGGAGAUAAAACUUCUCCUAAGGCUAAAUAUUUAUAGAAGACCGAUAGCAUACAAGUACUGCGAAGGAAAGAUGAAAAGAACUUUGAAAAAGAGGGUUAAAAAGACUUGAAAUCGUUGAAAAGGAAGCAGUAAAAGAGAAAUUAUUCACCAAGUAGUUGAAAUUAUUCUAAGUUAGAGGUGGAGAGUAU
rnacentral:rRNA from 1 species